GGGCACCACCAGGAGUGGAGCCUGCGGCUUAAUUUGACUCAACACGGGAAAACUCACCCGGCCCGGACACUAGGAGGAUUGACAGACUGACUAGCUCUUUCUUGAUUCAGUGGGUGGUGGUGCAUGGCCGUUCUUAGUUGGUGGAGCGAUUUGUCUGGUUAAUUCCGAUAACGAACGAGACUCUAGCCUACUAGUCAGCCGGCCCGGUCGUUAUGCGCCCGGGCAGCGAGCUUCUUAGAGGGACAGACGGCGAGUAAGCCGUACGAGAUAGAGCAAUAACAGGUCUGUGAUGCCCUUAGAUGUCCGGGGCCGCACGCGCGCUACACUGAAGUGAUCAGCACGCUAGCAAGCCCGCUCCGAGAGGAGCGGGUAACCGUUUGAACCCCCUUAAUGAUAGGGAUUGAGCUUUGUAACUAUUGCUCAUGAACGAGGAAUUCCCAGUAGGCGUGAGUCAUUACCUUACGCGAUUACGUCCCUGCCCUUUGUACACACCGCCGUCGCUACUACAGAUUGAAUGGC
rnacentral:rRNA from 1 species